rnacentral:rRNA from 1 species
UUUUAUGGAGAGUUUGAUCCUGGCUCAGGAUGAACGCUGGCGGCGUGCCUAAUACAUGCAAGUCGAGCGAACGGACGAGAAGCUUGCUUCUCUGAUGUUAGCGGCGGACGGGUGAGUAACACGUGGAUAACCUACCUAUAAGACUGGGAUAACUUCGGGAAACCGGAGCUAAUACCGGAUAAUAUUUUGAACCGCAUGGUUCAAAAGUGAAAGACGGUCUUGCUGUCACUUAUAGAUGGAUCCGCGCUGCAUUAGCUAGUUGGUAAGGUAACGGCUUACCAAGGCAACGAUGCAUAGCCGACCUGAGAGGGUGAUCGGCCACACUGGAACUGAGACACGGUCCAGACUCCUACGGGAGGCAGCAGUAGGGAAUCUUCCGCAAUGGGCGAAAGCCUGACGGAGCAACGCCGCGUGAGUGAUGAAGGUCUUCGUCACUUAUAGAUGGAUCCGCGCUGCAUUAGCUAGUUGGUAAGGUAACGGCUUACCAAGGCAACGAUGCAUAGCCGACCUGAGAGGGUGAUCGGCCACACU